rnacentral:rRNA from 1 species
CACGUAGGGGGCAAGCGUUGUCCGGAUUUAUUGGGCGUAAAGAGCUCGUAGGCGGCUCAGUAAGUCAGGUGUGAAACCUCCAGGCUCAACCUGGAGACGCCACCUGAUACUGCUGUGGCUAGAGUCCGGUAGGGGAGCGUGGAAUUCCUGGUGUAGCGGUGGAAUGCGCAGAUAUCAGGAAGAACACCCGUGGCGAAGGCGGCUCUCUGGGACGGUAUUGACGCUGAGACGCGAAAGCGUGGGGAGCGAACAGG